UACGUAGGUGGCAAGCGUUGUCCGGAUUUAUUGGGUUUAAAGGGUGCGUAGGCGGUCUAUUAAGUCAGUGGUGAAAUAUGGCAGCUUAACUGUCAAGGUGCCAUUGAUACUGAUGGACUUGAGUGAAGUCGAGGUUGGCGGAAUUGACGGUGGAGCGGUGAAAUGCGCAGAUAUCAGGAGGAACACCCGUAGCGAAGGCGGUUCUCUGGGACGGUACUGACGCUGAGACGCGAAAGCGUGGGGAGCGAACAGG
rnacentral:rRNA from 1 species